rnacentral:sRNA from 1 species
UGACCACUUCCCUUAUAAAGGAUGUUAAGGCCAUACGGACAGCCGGGUCAAAUGCCGA